rnacentral:rRNA from 1 species
CGGCAGCACAGUAAGGGCUUGCUCUUAUGGGUGGCGAGUGGCGGACGGGUGAGGAAUACAUCGGAAUCUACCUUUUCGUGGGGGAUAACGUAGGGAAACUUACGCUAAUACCGCAUACGACCUUCGGGUGAAAGCAGGGGACCUUCGGGCCUUGCGCGGAUAGAUGAGCCGAUGUCGGAUUAGCUAGUUGGCGGGGUAAAGGCCCACCAAGGCGACGAUCCGUAGCUGGUCUGAGAGGAUGAUCAGCCACACUGGAACUGAGACACGGUCCAGACUCCUACGGGAGGCAGCAGUGGGGAAUAUUGGACAAUGGGCGCAAGCCUGAUCCAGCCAUACCGCGUGGGUGAAGAAGGCCUUCGGGUCGUAAAGCCCUUUUGUUGGGAAAGAAAAGCAGUCGGCUAAUACCCGGUUGUUCUGACGGUACCCAAAGAAUAAGCACCGGCUAACUUCGUGCCAGCAGCCGCGGUAAUACGAAGGGUGCAAGCGUUACUCGGAAUUACUGGGCGUAAAGCGUGCGUAGGUGGUUGUUUAAGUCUGUUGUGAAAGCCCUGGGCUCAACCUGGGAAUUGCAGUGGAUACUGGGCGACUAGAGUGUGGUAGAGGGUAGUGGAAUUCCCGGUGUAGCAGUGAAAUGCGUAGAGAUCGGGAGGAACAUCCAUGGCGAAGGCAGCUACCUGGACCAACACUGACACUGAGGCACGAAAGCGU